rnacentral:rRNA from 1 species
UACGAAGGGGGCUAGCGUUGCUCGGAAUCACUGGGCGUAAAGCGUGCGCAGGCGGUUCGUUGUGUCGGUGGUGAAAGCCCCGGGCUUAACCUGGGAAUGGCCAUGGAAACUGGCGAACUGGAGUGUGGCAGAGGGGGGUGGAAUUCCGCGUGUAGCAGUGAAAUGCGUAGAGAUGCGGAGGAACACCGAUGGCGAAGGCAGCCCCCUGGGCUAGCACUGACGCUCAGGCACGAAAGCGUGGGGAGCAAACAGG